CAAACCAAAGCUGGCGACCGGCGCACGGGUGAGUAACACGUAUCCAACCUGCCUCAUACUCGGGGAUAGCCUUCCGAAAGAAAGAUUAAUAUCCGAUAGCAUAUAUUUCCCGCAUGGGUUUUAUAUUAAAGAAAUUCGGUAUGAGAUGGGGAUGCGUUCCAUUAGUUUGUUGGGGGGGUAACGGCCCACCAAGACUACGAUGGAUAGGGGUUCUGAGAGGAAGGUCCCCCACAUUGGAACUGAGACACGGUCCAA
rnacentral:rRNA from 1 species